rnacentral:misc_RNA from 1 species
AACAAGGCGUACCUGCGGACCUGCGGAAGGAUCAUUACCGAGUUUACAACUCCCAAACCCCUGUGAACAUACCAAUUGUUGCCUCGGCGGAUCAGCCCGCUCCCGGUAAAACGGGACGGCCCGCCAGAGGACCCCUAAACUCUGUUUCUAUAUGUAACUUCUGAGUAAAACCAUAAAUAAAUCAAAACUUUCAACAAUGGAUCU